rnacentral:rRNA from 1 species
AGCGAACGCUGGCGGCAGGCCUAACACAUGCAAGUCGAACGGACCCUUCGGGGUUAGUGGCGGACGGGUGAGUAACACGUGGGAACGUGCCUUUAGGUUCGGAAUAGCUCCUGGAAACGGGUGGUAAUGCCGAAUGUGCCCUUCGGGGGAAAGAUUUAUCGCCUUUAGAGCGGCCCGCGUCUGAUUAGCUAGUUGGUGAGGUAACGGCGCACCAAGGCGACGAUCAGUAGCUGGUCUGAGAGGAUGACCAGCCACACUGGGACUGGGACACGGCCCAGACUCCUACGGGAGGCAGCAGUGGGGAGUCUUGCGCAAUGGGCGAAAGCCUGACGCAGCCAUGCCGCGUGAAUGAUGAAGGUCUUAGGAUUGUAAAAUUCUUUCACCGGGGACGAUAAUGACGGUACCCGGAGAAGAAGCCCCGGCUAACUUCGUGCCAGCCGCCGCCGUAA